AAAAAAAAAAAAAGAAGAGAGAGAUAUCCAAAAUUCACCUUCUUUCCCCAGCAUAUUAGCUUCAAUUCCAGUCCAGUAGUUAGAUUCGGCUGAUUCUGGUUUCAAUGGUUCCUAUAUAAUCCUGGUACCAAUAUAUAAUCUUGCUUCUGCUGAUCAGUAAUGUCAUUGUUUACCUAGAAAAUUUAGAGGUUUUUAACAAACGUAGCUGGAUAUUGCCCUGUUGGCGGAAUUCUUAGUUCUUCUUGUCUUUUUUGUUUAUAUCUUUUCCAGUAUUUUCUUUGGGAUUAAUUAAUGUCGAUUGUUAACUUGAAUCACAUUCAUCAUAGGAGGUGGAUAUGGUUGGUUUUUCUAACAUUCAAUUAAAUAAAGGGUUAUUAUUGUCUCUGUUUAACCAUUUUAGAAUAGUCUGCCUGUUGCAUGUUACUGGUUUGGGUGUUUCUCAUCUGCUCAGUGUAGAGCCUCAUAGACAUGCAAAACCUAUUCUUGGACCUAAUCAAAAGCUUGGUCUUAUUAUGAGUUUUAUUUGACUUGGCAUUAGGAUCUUUAUGAACAAUAGUUAGUUUAGAUCCUGGAUGCCUCCAUCAUAUUAACUUAAUUUUAGCUUAAUAAAAAAUUUGAUUUGUAUUUGUCAAUGCUUCAAGCCCAGUGGAUCCUAGAGAUGUGACCUAUACUUAUUCUUUCUAAAAAGCUUGAGCUUUGGAGUUGAAUAGCUUUUGACACUACCAAUACCUGUCCACUUUAUCAAUGAAAAAUAAAGCAUGGCAUGGCAUGGCAUGACAGUUGUAAUGGAGUUUUUUUUUUCCAUAUUUUUCCUGAAGGGAGGUUUGCCAGAGUCAAUAUAUGCAUAUCUUAUUAUGCUGUUUCCAAAUUUUUUACGGGAUUUUAUUUUACAUGUGAUGGCAUGGUAUCAAUUGGCAAUUUUAUUGGUGAUUAAACUAUGAUGGCAUGAACUUUCUGUUAAGUGAUUAAGUGUGUGUGUCUGUGUGUGUGUGGGUGAACUUUCUGUUAAGUGAUUAAGUGUGUGUGUCUGUGUGUGUGUGGG
rnacentral:misc_RNA from 1 species